GGGCAUAGUAUGUCUCUCUAUUUACUGUCUUCAAUUAUUCAUGUCUU
rnacentral:sRNA from 1 species